rnacentral:rRNA from 1 species
AGCGAACGCUGGCGGCAGGCCUAACACAUGCAAGUCGAACGAACUCUUCGGAGUUAGUGGCGGACGGGUGAGUAACACGUGGGAACGUGCCUUUUGGUUCGGAAUAACUCAGGGAAACUUGUGCUAAUACCGAAUGUGCCCUUCGGGGGAAAGAUUUAUCGCCAUUAGAGCGGCCCGCGUCUGAUUAGCUAGUUGGUGAGGUAACGGCCCACCAAGGCGAUGAUCAGUAGCUGGUCUGAGAGGAUGACCAGCCACACUGGGACUGAGACACGGCCCAGACUCCUACGGGAGGCAGCAGUGGGGAAUCUUGCGCAAUGGGCGAAAGCCUGACGCAGCCAUGCCGCGUGAAUGAUGAAGGUCUUAGGAUUGUAAAAUUCUUUCACCGGGGACGAUAAUGACGGUACCCGGAGAAGAAGCCCCGGCUAACUUCGUG